rnacentral:rRNA from 1 species
GUUGUCGGUUUGGGAUCGGCCCGCGUCAUAUCAGCUUGUUGGUAAGGUAACGGCUUACCAAGGCUAAGACGUGUAGCUGGUCUGAGAGGAUGAUCAGCCACAUCGGGACUGAGACACUGCCCGGACCUCCACGGAGGGCUGCAGCAACGAAUCAUCCGCAAUGCGCGAAAGCGUGACGGUGCGACGCCGCGUGCGGGACGAAGCCCCUAGGGGUGUAAACCGCUGUCAGGGGAAACCACACCGAUAGGGCAAAUAGUCCUUGAGGUAGAGGGAACCCAGAGGAAGCCACGGCUAACUCUGUGCCAGCAGCCGCGGUAAGACAGAGGUGGCUAGCGUUGCUCGGAAUCACUGGGCUUAAAGGGUGCGUAGGCGGCUUAUCAAGCAUUAUGUGAAAGCCCUCGGCUCAACUGAGGAAUUGCAUAAUGAACUGGUAAGCUUGAGGUGCGUCGGGGCCGGAAGAACUCUGGGUGGAGCGGUGAUAUGCGUAGAUAUCCAGGGGAAUGCCAGUGGCGAAGGCGUCCGGCUAGGCGCAAUCUGACGCUAAGGCACGAAAGCGUGGGUAGCGAACGGGAUUAGAUACCCCGGUAGUCCACGCUGUAAACGUUGUGCACUGGUUUCGGGAACCUCUGACGGUUUCCGGAGCGUAGAAAAAUCGUUAAGUGCACCGCCUGGGGACUACGGCCGCAAGGCUAAAACUCAAAGGAAUUGACGGGGGCUCACACAAGCGGUGGAGCAUGUGGCUUAAUUCGAGGCAACGCGAAGAACCUUACCUGGGUUUGACAUGUACGGAUGCCCCCCUGGAAACAGGGUGUGGUUGCCCUCGUGGUGAAACGUACACAGGUGCUGCAUGGCUGUCGUCAGCUCGUGCCGUGAGGUGUUGGGUUAAGUCCCGUAACGAGCGAAACCCCUAUCUUUAGUUGCCAGUUCCGAUUUAUCGGAAGGCACUCUAACGAGACUGCCGGCGUCAAGCCGGAGGAAGGUGGGGACGACGUCAAGUCAUCAUGGCCUUUAUACCCAGGGAUGCACACGUGCUACAAUGCCAGGUACAAAGUGACGCGAAGCCGCGAGGUGGAGCAAAUCGCAAAAAACCUGGCCCAGUUCAGAUUGCAGUCUGCA